GAGGGAAUAGAUCAGUGGUAGAGUGCAUGCCUAGCAUGCAUGAGGUCCUGGGUUCAAUCCCCAGUACCUCCA
rnacentral:tRNA from 1 species